GGGCCCGCACAAGCGGUGGAGCAUGUGGUUUAAUUCGAUGAUACGCGAGGAACCUUACCAGGACUUAAAUGCAUAACGAUCGGUUGAGAAAUCAACUUUUCUUCGGACGGUAUGCAAGGUGCUGCAUGGUUGUCGUCAGCUCGUGCCGUGAGGUGUCAGGUUAAGUCCUAUAACGAGCGCAACCCCUAUUCUUAGUUGCCAGCGGUUCGGCCGGGGACUCUAAGAAAACUGCCAGCGCAAGCUGUGAGGAAGGUGGGGAUGACGUCAAAUCAUCACGGCCCUUACGUCCUGGGCCACACACGUGCUACAAUGGUAGGUACAAAGGGCAGCCACUUGGCGACAAGGAGCUAAUCUCUAAAACCUAUCUCAGUUCGGAUUGGAGUCUGCAACUCGACUCUAUGAAGCUGGAAUCGCUAGUAA
rnacentral:rRNA from 1 species